rnacentral:tRNA from 1 species
GACCCCAUCGUCUAGAGGCCUAGGACUUCGGCCUUUCACGCCGCCAACACGGGUUCGAAUCCCGUUGGGGUCG